rnacentral:ribozyme from 14 species
UUCCCUCUCUCUUUCUCUUUUUUUUUUUUUUUCCUUUUUUUUUCCUCUUCGGUU